CCGCCGUCUGCCCGUCUGUAUGGCUGAUUCCUUAGAUCUGAGGUGGAGGACAAAGAACAAAGACAUCAAUAAUCUACCUGUGAAAAGACUGGUCAUGUUUUUAGGGGAAAAAGCUCCAUGAAGAAAUGGUUUUCCCAGUUUGUUGUGGGAGAGCCUGACUCUAACCAAACAUCUGGGCUGGACCUAAUGCUGUUGUGGCUGAAUGCAGCCAGGUUCAACAUCUGGUGGAGAGGAUUCACAAACUAAAGCCUGUCAUCAACAAUCACUUACAGUUCCUGGUUAGAAAACACAAGAGUCGUCAGCAGCAGAAGGACAGAGAGUCACAGAACAGCGAGGGAUUUUUAAAACGUCACCUCGUCGAUGAAGACGGAGUCGCAGAAGAGACGAGAGGAGCGUUUGGCAGAG